CGCCGCGUGUGGGAUGAAGGCCUUCGGGUCGUAAACCACUGUCAGUGGGAAAGAAGGGUGUCGGCGCGAUAACCGCCGGCAUCUGACGGUACCUGCAGAGGAAGCCCCGGCCAACUCUGUGCCAGCAGCCGCGGUAAGACAGAGGGGGCAAGCGUUGCUCGGAAUUACUGGGCGUAAAGGGCGCGUAGGCGGGAUGGCAAGUCGGUCGUGAAAUCCUUCGGCUCAACCGAAGAACGUCGAUCGAUACUGCUGUUCUAGAGGAUUGCAGAGGAGACUGGAAUUCCCGGUGUAGCGGUGAAAUGUGUAGAGAUCGGGAGGAACACCGGUGGCGAAGGCGGGUCUCUGGGCAAUUCCUGACGCUGAGGCGCGAAAGCGUGGGGAGCAAACGGGAUUAGAUACCCCGGUAGUCCACGCUGUAAACGAUGAGCACUAGGUGUGGGGGGGUUCAGUCCCCUCCGUGCCGCAGCUAACGCAUUAAGUGCUCCGCCUGGGGAGUACGGCCGCAAGGUUG
rnacentral:rRNA from 1 species